rnacentral:tRNA from 7 species
CUCCGUAUAGCUCAGUCUGGUAGAGCGCUCCAUUUGGGAUGGAGAGGUCGAAUGUUCGAGUCAUUCUAUGGAGACCA